rnacentral:lncRNA from 1 species
AUGUUGUUAGUAUUUGCAUCAGAGUGUUCGCUCCGAGUCUUUCCUCUGUCAUGUCCCCUCAGCCAUUGUAGUCAGGCAGUUGCGAUUCCCUCAGUUUGUCCUCUGCUUUUGGAUAGUGUUUUUUUUCUCCUUGAUCCCUGCAGAUUGUGCAGGGACAUUACACCACCACUAAUGGAGAAGUCCAUUACGUUCGAUGAUACCACAGUGUGUUUGUCUCUGUGUACAAUGUUCUCCUGGAUCUGCUCCUCUAGCUCUGCAUCACUUCCUGGAGGUUGUUCCAGUUCACAUGGAAAUCCUCCACUUUAUUAUUCCUUUGAGCACAAUAGUAUUCCAUUACCAGCAUAUACCACAAUUUGUUCAGCCAUUCCCCAAUUGAUGGGCAUCCCCUCAUUUUCCAAUUUUUGGCCACCACAAAGAGCGCAGCUAUGAAUAUUUUUGUACAAGUCUUUUUGUCCAUUAUCUCUUUGGGGUACAGACCCAGCAGUGCUAUGGCUGGAUCAAAGGGUAGACAUUCUUUUAUCGCCCUUUGUGCAUAGUUCCAAAUUGCCCUCCAGAAUGGCUGGAUCAGUUCACAACUCCACCAGCAAUGAAUUAAUGUCCCUACUUUGCCACAUCCCCUCCAGCAUUCAUUACUUUCCAUAACAGUCAUGUUAGCCAAUCUGCUAGGUGUGAGGUGAUACCUCAGAGUUGUUUUGAUUUGCAUCUCUCUGAUUAUAAGAGAUGUGGAGCACUUCUUCAUGAAGCAGUUGCUUUUCAAUGGUGUUUUUACUCCCACAGUUUAUGCUCUGCUUGUGGAUAGUAUUUUUUAGAUCUCUGCAGAUUGUUCAGGGACAUUGCAUUGACACUAAUGGAGAAGUCCAUCACCUUCGAUUGUACCACAAUGUAUCAGUCUCUGUGUACAAUGAUUUCCUGGUUCUGCUCCUUUUCCUCUGCAUCACUUCCUGGAGGUGGUUCCAGUCUCCAUGGAAUUCCUCUACUUUAUUAUUCCUUUUAGCACAAUAGUAUUCCAUCACCAACAUAUACCACAAUUUGUUCAGCCAUUCCCCAAUUGAUGGGCAUCCCCUCGUUUUCCAAUUUUUGGCCACCACAAAGAGUGCAGCUAUGAAUAUUCUUGUACAAGUCUUUUUCCUUAUUAUCUCUUUGGGGUACAAACCAAGCAGUGCUAUAGCUGAAUCAAAGGGCAGACAGUCUUUUAUCACCCUUUGGGCAUUGUUCCAAAUUGCCCUCCAGAAUGGCAGGAUCAAUUCACAACUCCACCAGCAAUGAAUUCGCGUCCCCACUUUGCCACAUCCCCUCCAGCAUUCAUUACUUUCCAUAGCUGUCAUGUUAGCCAAUCUGCUAGGUGUGAGGUGAUACCUCAGAGUUGUUUUGAUUUGCAUCUCUCUGAUUAUAAGAGAUGUAGAGCACUUUUUCAUAUACUUAUUAAUAG